UUAAAAAUUUUAAUUUUUCAUUUUAAUAUUUAUGCAAUAAUCUUCAAAGAAGGUCUUCUGAAUAUGCAAAGAAAAUUAAAUCUCUAUUUAUCUUUCACGGAGCAUUCUUUAGAAAUCCUUAAAGAAUGUUUUGGAUUUAAAACUUAGCCUAUAAAUAGUAAACUUAUCUCACAUCCAUAAAGUAAUAAAAAAAGUUAUUUAAUAAUAAUUUAGUCUAAUUUAAUUUAACAUUUAAAAAUAUAUUAG
rnacentral:misc_RNA from 1 species